UUCUUAUUAAAUUUUAUAAUAAGUAUAACCUGCUCAAUGAAUAUUAAAUAGCCGCAAAAUUUCAUGUGCUAAGGUAGCAUAAUCAUUUGUUUUUUAAUUAAAAACUAGAAUGAAAGGUUAAACAUUUAAAUUUUUUUAUUUAUAUUAUUACAUAAAAUUAUAUUAAAUAUAAAAAUAUAUUUAUAGAAUAAAAAGACGACAAGACCCUAUUGAACUUUACUUAUGUUAAACUGGGGUAGUUUUAUAAAUAAAAUUUUAUUUUAUUUUUAAUAAAUGAUCCAAUAAAAUUGAUUUUAUAAACAAGUUACCAUAGGGAUAACAGCGUAAUAAAUAUUAAAAGCUCUUAUUUAAAUAUUUGAUUGCGACCUCGAUGUUGAAUUAUAUUUUCUUAUUUUAGUGCAAAAACAUAUAAAGUAGGUCUGUUCGACCUUUAAAAUAUUACA
rnacentral:rRNA from 1 species